rnacentral:lncRNA from 1 species
UCAGAACUGGUUAUAAGCUAAGAUAAUAUCAGCGAGGGAUGAGGGAUCCUGGAUGAGUCCUACAGAGACAAAAGAACCGGCUCAUUGGUGCUGAAGAGGGAAAAAGGAUGAAAAUUGUUUGAGGAGCAAAGCUUGUGUUGGUUGCAAUGCUUUUCUGACAUAAGAAUCAAUGCUCUGGGGAUUCAAAUUACAGCCAUUUAGGGCAUGCCCAGUGCAAGCUAAUGGUCAUGAUAAUUUACAUUGUCAGAAAAUACAGAAGUUUAAUUCACAUUUUAUAAUGUCAUUUUAGUUCCUGUGACCUAAAGUACACAGAAGGUGUUCAGUCCCUCAACUGGACUAAAAUCAUGAAGACCAUCGUUGACGACCCUGAAGGCUUCUUUGAACAAGGUGGCUGGUCUUUCCUGGAACCUGAGGGUGAGGGCAGUGAUGCUGAGGACGGGGACUCGGAGUCUGAAAUUGAAGAUGAGACCUUCAAUCCUUCCGAGGAUGACUAUGAAGAGGAAGAAGAGGACAGUGAUGAAGACUAUUCAUCAGAAGCUGAAGAAUCAGAUUAUUCUAAGGAAUCUCUGGGAAGUGAAGAAGAAAGCGGGAAAGACUGGGAUGAGCUAGAAGAAGAAGCACGAAAAGCGGACCGAGAAAGCCGUUAUGAGGAGGAGGAAGAACAGAGCCGAAGUAUGAGCCGGAAGAGGAAGGCGUCUGUACAUAGUUCAGGCCGUGGCUCUAACCGCGGUUCCAGACACAGCUCUGCACCCCCGAAGAAAAAGAGAAAGUAAUAUGAACCUUGGGUCCUAUGCUCCAUUCUUUCUGCAAACAACUCCUAAAAUGACAUGACAUAGAAACUGUUUUUCCUUUUGGUUCUGUUGAAGUUUUGCCGUUUGUGUUUAUGGGUUUAGGGGCCAUUUGUGCGGACCAAGCUACUCGGGGAAUUCCAGGCCUACCAGGACAUGUGCCAGUGGCCCCGAUCAGAUGGCUGGCAAGGGAGGCGGUGUUGAAGGGCAGGAGGCUCCUCCCACUGUUGAUACCAUUUAUUCUUUUCUUCUGACAACUUAUCUUUGGUAUCUCAAAGCUGAAUUACCAAGACAGUGGUAUGAGCUCACCACUAUUUCUACUAUGGUUCUUUUUUCUUUACUUUUUUAUUUUUCCUGGCUUUUUGAGACAGUCUUGCUAUGCAGCCAUGGCUGACCUUGAAGUCGAUGUAAACCAGGCUAGCCUCAAAUGUAUGAUCCUCUUACUCUGCCUCCCAAGUGCUGGGACUACAGGCCUGAGUCACCAUACUUAGCCAAAGCGUGGUUCUGGCCCAGAGUCAGUCCUCCAUCCGUCCCUUUAUCAGUUUGAGAUCUGAAGUUCUCAAGAAGGUUCUUGGGUUUGCUGAUGGUUGUGAUAAGCACAGCUGAGCUAAAGGCAGAGCGGGCUGGUGUCUGGUCUUAGGUUGUUCUGGUUUCUUGCCUGGUGCACAUUCUGGGUGUUUUUGCUGCAUUGGAAGACAAAUACUGGCACUCCGUGGCUGGGUUUUUCCUCCUUACAAGUCCAUAUGUGGUACAGUGCUCGAUCGCACAUCACCACUGUCUCCUCUGAUCCAUCUAAGGAAGAAUGGCCAUGCCUCAUCUGCUGCAGGUGAAAUCUAGAGGGAGGCUUACAGGAGUCAACACGGAUCUCGAAGAGUAAGUCAUGUCUUGGCCUAGAAUAUCUUGACAAGAAGAGAAGCAGGAAGAAGGCCACACCCACAAGGCUGGGCUCUGCUGCUCCUCCCUUUCCUUUGUCUGCAGUGUCCUGUGUCGGUUGCUUCUGAUGAUGAGCUUUAAGAUACUGGGGGGCUCUCUCUUGCCGUCCUCCCCUGCAGGUUCUCUGCAUCCACCUGUCCCACUUUGCCUCCUCUGUUCUGUACCUUUAUGAGAAGGGGCUUCUCGGAUUUUAUGUUUGUUUGUUUUCUCUCCUUAGCAGUAGGACUUGAUAUUUUGAAUUUUGGAAGAACUAAAAGAUAAAUAAACUGGGAUUUUUUUUGUUUUGUUUUGUUUUUUGUAAACUUGUCUUUUAUGACCAUUUCUUUGCAGUUUCUGAAGUCUUGCCUACUAAAGUGUUAAGGUGUUAGAAGAAAAUGCCUUUGUCUUCAACUAGUACCAUAAAAGUUCACUGAUGGUUGUAAGCCUCGUCAUUAGUUUGAGAAACAGAUAGCAAGAUAGCACAGGAGACCAGAUUUAUGGCAUAGCAUGUUAUUUUAUAAGACACGUUGAACUGUGAUUCCCUCAAAUUGUAGAGUGGAGUAGAACUUAUGAAAACAGAUCUUCAGUCAUCUCCUUAUAAAUGCCAUGGAGGGCAGCAGUUGCUUGGAGGGAAACCUUCAGCCUUCCAAUUUGGAUGGCCUGGUUUCCAGGGCUCACAACUGUGGACAUGGGUGAAAAGACAGUUAGGCACCAGCAGUGUUCCAUUUAUACAUGUUUGUCUGUCUGUCUAUUUGUAUCAGGGUCUCACUUUGGCCCUGGCUGGCUCAUAACUCACUGUGUAGACGAGGCUGGCCUCCUCCAACUCACAGAGAUCCUGCUUCUGUCUCCCAAGUUCCUUGGACUAAGGGUGUGUGCUAACACUGCCCAGCUGUUUAUACUCUUUUUGUAUACUUGGUGUUUGUCAUAUUGGAGCUACUCUCAUGGGAAAGUGAAGCUGUUACAGUGUGCUCUACACACAUGAAGAAAAGAUUAAGAUGCUUUGGAGAUAAAAGCAUGUAAGCCAGAAUAGAGGAGAAUUAAAAAGGACUUUUAGGGCUAACCAGACGACUCAGUGGUUAAAGAUUCUUGCUCACAAGCUGAGGUAGUCAGACCACAGAAUCUACAUAAUGAAAGGCAAGAAGAAACUAAUAACUCCUAUGGGUUGUCCCCUGACAUUUAUAUGUGUGCAUACAUUACGUCAAAUCUAGACAAUCCUAGAUAUGGUCCAGAAUGAAUACAAAAAGCUGUCUGAAAGCCUUCGGAGGCAUUUGUCUCUUCGGCUUCACAGAUAAUUGUCAACAAGUUACACAGGUGGGCUAUUUUCUCUAUGAAUAAAUAGAAGUAUAAAAUUUUAUUACUUACUCUCUAGUUCUUGCUCUAGGAUAUCUUUUCCGGAUUGAAAUAUCUGCCACAGUUCGAGGUAUGCAUAGCCUAUAUCUUGACAUUCUUUUUUUUCUUCAUCCAGAGGAUCGCUUACCACUGUAAACUUUAAACUGAAAAAAGAUAAAAAUAAAUCCAUUUAACUCUGC